UGAGCACAAGAAGGUUCGGCCGAAAGCGAGCUCCGACAUUGUAAGGUUCUUGACAAAAGCUUCAGGAGAGAUAGGACGGCUUCCAGCCGACUGGGCCAAGUGUUUGAUACCUUUGGGAAGUGCAAAAUGGCACCAGAGGCUCUUUCUCUUAUGAGCAGCGUAGUUCUCCAUUUGAGAGUUUAUAUCAACAAGUCAGAAGCCUUACGAGGAGGGGGAUGAGCGCGGAUUGAAGCUUCUGCAAGCUAUGUUGAAGCCGUUAAUGCUUCGAAGAAC